UCUUCCGCAAUGGGCGAAAGCCUGACGGAGCAACGCCGCGUGAGUGAUGAAGGUCUUAGGAUCGUAAAACUCUGUUGUUAGGGAAGAACAAGUUGAGGAGUAACUGCCUCGACCUUGACAGUAUCUAACCAGAAAGUCACGGCUAACUACGUGCCAGCAGCCGCGGUAAUACGUAGGUGGCAAGCGUUAUCCGGAAUUAUUGGGCGUAAAGCGCGCGUAGGCGGUUUCUUAAGUCUGAUGUGAAAGCCCACGGCUCAACCGUGGAGGGUCAUUGGAAACUGGGGAACUUGAGUGCAGAAGAGGAGAGUGGAAUUCCAUGUGUAGCGGUGAAAUGCGCAGAGAUAUGGAGGAACACCAGUGGCGAAGGCGGCUCUCUGGUCUGUAACUGACGCUGAUGUGCGAAAGCGUGGGGAUCAA
rnacentral:rRNA from 1 species